UGCGAGCACCUGGAGAUUUUGAAUAGGCGUCCUUUCGAAGCCUUAUCACAUAGUAUAUUACAACGAUGAUGUUCGCUAUUUGCCAAUUACGUUAUUAGUAGAUAAUGCGCAUACACUGCGUGUGGUUAUAGAAAGGGAAUUUCGGAAUCGUUGAAAGAUCGAUCGCGAUCUUUCAUGCUGUUGUCUUUUGACCGACCAAAGUAGCAGACGUUUCUCGUGUUUUGCUGGGACAUACACGAUGAGGCUUGGAAUUUGAUUAUCAAACUCGAUUCUUCUUAGGAAAAAAAUUUCUCGUAGAACUUGAUCAGUACGUACAGAAAUUAUUGAUAAUAAAAUUUUUAUACGAGAUAUUAUAUUCAUCAAACGUAAAUACUAGAAAUUCAGUCAAGACGGCACACAAGAAGAUGAAUUUUAAAAUAAGCUUAUUACUCGUACCUGCUGCCUUCAGCGUGUUUACGCAUGAGACACCAGUAUCUCCUUCUUGUGGGAGAACGCAGAUGAUGCCUAGAAAAUGUUACUAUGAGUUAGACCAUGGUGAAUGCUAUGCCUAUCCAUGGAAGAAUGUAGUGAGAUAUUGGUAUAAUGUGACCGAUGGAACAUGUAUACCUUUUGUUAGAUACUCUUGUUCUGGUGGAAAUGAAAAUAAUUUUGCAACAAAUCUGGAUUGCAUGACUACAUGCUGUCACAGAUACAUACCUUUCUAAAGUUCCAAAUUUGAAAUCUUUUGAUAAUUGAUAAGUAUUUGUAAUAGUUAAAUAUUAAGUUUCAAUAGAAGUACUAAUUAAACAACUCUGUGGUCUUUAUUAAAUACUUGUAAAAGUGUUUUAUUUUUAUGUUAAAUAACUGUAAUA
rnacentral:lncRNA from 1 species